AAGGAAACCCCGGUUAAUUCCGUGCCGGCAGCCGCGGUAUUAGGGAGGGGGUAAGCGUUUUUGGGAAUUACUGGGGGUAAAGCGCAGGUAGGCGGAUCAGAAAGUUAGGGGUGAAAUCCCAGGGUUCAACCCUGGAACUGCCUUUAAAACUCCUGGUCUUGAGUUCGAGAGAGGUGAGUGGAAUUCCGAGUGUAGAGGUGAAAUUGGUAGAUAUUCGGAGGAACACCAGUGGGGAAGGCGGCUCACUGGCUCGAUACUGACGCUGAGGUGGGAAAGUGUGGGGAGCAAACAGGAUUAGAUACCCUGGUAGUCCACACCGUAAACGAUGAAUGCCAGUCGUCGGGUAGCAUGCUAUUCGGUGACACACCUAACGGAUUAAGCAUUCCGCCUGGGGAGUACGGUCGCAAGAUUAAAACUCAAAGGAAUUGACGGGGGCCCGCACAAAAGGGC
rnacentral:rRNA from 1 species